rnacentral:sRNA from 1 species
GUAAUAUCCCUUGAUUUUUCAAUGUCUCCAGGAUCAAUUUUAUAGACUUAGGGUCAUUUUGUUUGUAUAUCCUCACGAGAACUUCUUCCAUUGAUUCAUCCCCUUUCAGUUCCUUCUCUCUCGUCCCCGAGCUCUCAAAAUCAUCGCUACCUUCCUCCGCCGCCCCGUUAUCACUCUCCUACAUGGUGACCAAAGACAAGCCAUCACCUUCUUUUUCGUCAUCUUCAGAAUUCGACACAUCAUCGGGGUCUUUACCCCGAACACUGGAGCGAAAACGAGCUGUGAUAUUUUGAUAUCGAGGAUUAGACAUGGACGGCUCGUUGUUGAAUGCAACAGAGUUGAAGCGACCCUUGGGAAACAGAUACCGGAGAGUCAACAAUGGUGGUGUUUUCGCGUGUGAGCUACCUAUGGCGCUGAUCCGCUUUUCACAUCGCUGCCAUCACGUCCACGGUUUAGGAUCCUCAUCCCCCUAGAUAUUUAUUACCUCAUCAUUAUGUCGAUAGAAACUUGAGCAUCGGUCAGAUACAUAGCGGCGUACCUUUUGAUUGGCUUCCGCCAUGCCCACACCACCACCAGUUUCAUUGCCUUCAUGGGCACUUUUAUUAUGCCUCCAGCCGCGCCGCAACUCUCCUCCUCCUCGCUCCUCCUAUCCAUUACGUAAUGCAAAGCUCCUGUACCGAACGACCCGUAGUAACACUCUAUUACUACAACGUCGUACAUAUAGGAAGCAAGAUGCGCUUGAAUUGGCCAAGCCGGAAAACGGGUUGCUGGCUGGUUCCAUCUCUCCAAAAAGGUUCGGCCAUUUUUUCAAUCAGGCCGAAAACUGGAUCCAAAGCUUAAAAUUGAAGCGAGUACGUUCCUAUAAAUCAAGAAGUAGAUCUGAAAUCGUGGAGAAGAGCGCAUUAUUACAUAUUUUGAUAUGAAAUUU